CUUUCUCCGAAUACUUCUACUCCUCCUCCUCCUCCUCUGUAAUUUCCUCCUCCUCCUCUGCGUGGUUUUAGCGGCGACAUUUUUCCGGCGAAAGCAGUUUUUAUAGUUUUCCGGUUUACUGCGGCGAUAGCAUUUUCUGGCGACUAUUAUUUUUUCCGGCCAGCCAGACAGUCCGUUUUUUGCUCUACAUAUUUUUCCGAUAAACCAUUUUUCAGACGAGGUUAAAAUGGCUGCACUUCACGGCGGAGAUGGUGGUAACGACCCUCCAAACUGGGGGUGGAAUCCCGAAUGGGGUUGUAGGCGUACGGGUGGUAUUAGCACAGGGAGAGCUGCUGCUGCUAACAACGAUCUGGAGCGCGAGUUUCAGAAUUCGGGACGCCGG